UUUGCUUGUAUCUUUUACAUGGCGCACCGUUUGACACCCCCUACUUGGGUCUCGCUUUUGAAGAACUUGCUUAAAGAGCAAGUAACGUCUAAAUUAACUUUUUUUUGCUGAUGAACUGUAUAAAUGAGUGUCUAAUAGUGUUUUAAAUGUGUGCAUUCUUUAUUUUAGCAUUUUGGUGCAUUUUCUUUAAAAAUUAAAAAUUCUGUCUAAAAACCACAGUAAUGCGCCACCUUCAGCUGAAAACAUAGAAUUUGAGUCAUUUUGAAUAAAUUUUAGCCAAUGGCUAAAGAGUAAAGUACUACGUAAACCAGUAGAGUACUACGUAGCAGCUCCGUGCCAAAGUUAUAAAAGCAACGAGCGUCUCGGCCACGCCCUGUGGCGAGUGGGAGUUGGAUUUGCAAGCGAGCGUAGGAGGUCAGCGGUAGUUCAGCAUUAGCAUAUAGCAUUAGCAUAUCUUAGUCUUUAGCAUAUCUUUUAGUGUUAUAAAUACUUAUUUAGUGUUAGCUUGGCUGUGGGAUAUUGUAGUUUAGUUAGUGUUUGGCUGUUAGUGUAAUUGGGAAAGUAUUUCGGGUUUAGUGUUCCAUAUCGUCUUAGUAUUGGUGAGAUGGUGUAAUGUAGUAUGCUUGCGGUGACUCUGUGGGCAUUUUACCCGUGAUUCUGCACGUCUCCGUUUGAAGAGGGAGGCUGCCCACCGUGGUUCUUCCGCGAUUUAGAUGCAACCCACCGACUCUGCUCCCCCACCCGGCGGGCUCCAGUCUGAGGUGAGUAAGCUAAAUAAACGUUUUAACAUCUUCUAAAGACAAUUCCCUACCUAAAUGCAAAGUCUGAGAGACGUGGUUCACUUCCUUUAGCUAGUCAGUCGGCAAUUCUGCAACAGUGUCUCUAACUGACGCAGCACUAGUUGACAGACAGCAUUACAGCGUGAAAUCCAGCUUGUGACCCGAUUCUGUAAGGAAUUCUAUUCAGGAGGUCACAUUUCAGGCUCUCCACAUCAUGUGUGACUGACUUUUACGUUAUAACAACGAUCACACACUAGGAAUGUUAUAAAGUGCCUAUAUAGGAUAUUCUUUUGUAUAUUAUCUGACUUUAUAAACUCCCAACAACAAUGUGCUUAUAUAUUUUUUUUCAGGCUAAAUCUACCCAAGACACUGGCUGUCAGACUGAUUUAGCUGCAAGAAUGCACUUGUCCAGGCUGAUGUGAAACCUUCCCUGUAGCAAAGCCAGCCAGAAUGGAGUUCACAGCCGCAGUGUGUCUGGUGACCCACAGGGACCAUGAUGGAAAUUCAUCUUCCAGAAAGUCCCAGAGCAGCGGCCACACCCCCUGAAAAGACCAAGAUGUGAGGUGUCUGCUGUUGAUUCCAGCUUCCACCUCAGUGACAGUGCAAGCUCAGUGAACUGUUCAAGGAGGCUACUGAUUCUGCCCCUGUGACACUUGGUGGUGACGUGUGAGCUGAUUCACCUGGAAAAUAACUUUUACAUUAAAUAUUUUGUUUUUGCUAUCAAAAGUAAUUUAACUAAUAACCUGCAUUAUUGCAGGACACUCAGCAAAAUAUGGACUCUACACCAUGAGGCAGGCACACAUUAAUAUUCUAUAAGAGCACAUAAGGUGAGCAACACCACAUAUUGUACACUGUCCUGAAUUUGUUUUCUUUCUGCAUCUCAUCAUUAGCCUGGCUGAUCACCUGAUAACUCCUGUCAUCUGGUUAUGACAGCAUGAGGAUGUCCUCACACACAUGUAACCUAUCAGCUCAUCUGGCAGAAUAGAGAGAGAAGAGACAACACCACAUCUCCUGUUCCUGGAAAGCCUUCAGCCAUCCUUCGAUGACUGAGAACCUCCAUCAGCUCUGUCUCCUGUCUGCCUACAAUUAUUAUAAUAAAUAUUGUGUUUGACAAGUUUUUUGUGCUGCCAAAUAUCUCAUUUAGAUUCCAGUUUUGAUAUUUUAAUGGAUAUUUAUAAAUUACAUUGAUUAUCACAUUUUUGUUGCAUGUUUAACUAGCUCUAUUGUGAUGAAUUAAACUAGCACCUCACUGUUAAAAGCUCGUUUUAAUUUCAAGCAUGUUUAAGUAUUUAUGGACAUGAACAAAAACAGGAAAUAUAUAAAUUGAGAUUUAUUUAAUUAAUAUAACAAAUAAGGGGGAAAGAGUCAUUGAAAGGCACAUUCUUCUGGAAGCUCCUGAUCCUGACGACACCAGACCAGCUGCAGACACCAGAGGACCUAGAACCGAGAGAGCAGCUGUUAUUAGUAAAUAAAUAAAGAAAUCAGGGCAGUUUUAGUGGGCUGAACACAUUACAGAAUAAUUUUCUCAUGGGGUAUUUUCAUAACUUUAUAUGCAGCAGACUGUAACUUGAGCCCAGGGCUACCGGAGAGCUGCUAUCCAGCAUGUUUCAGUGGAUUUUCCUGCUUUAACAGGUUAGAUUAGCUGUUAAGCAGCUCAGCUAUUUGUUGCUGAUUAAAACCAGGUGUGCUGAAGCAGAUAAACCUCUAAAACAUGCUGAAUACUAGCUUUUUAGAGCCGUGGAGCCAAACACUGCAGCUAAUCCAAUGCUAUGGCUAACGGCUACUUACCUUUCAGAGGUGGUUCUGUUGGGUCGGUUCUGGGAGUUUCAGGCAACUCACACGCUCAAAACAAUAAGACUCAGGUCCGCUUGUCUCCUCCAAAUAGACUUGGUCCCUUUCUUCUCGAGUGUCUGGGUAAGGAGGGGGAGAAACGUCCUCCACUUCUAAUAACUGCUCAGAGUGAAGGGAGCUAGCUUCGUCUAGUUAGCCAUCGUCUUCGUCACUGCCGCGGCUCCGCCCUCUCGGUCCUCCAGGCAACGCCUACUAAUGUUGCAUUUUUUAAAAUUGAUACGUGGGUGGAGAAGGACUCCGAGGCUCGAUUGACCUGCUCUUUAAUUUCUGCAUAAAUAACAGACAGAUUGUAGGUCCGAUAAUUUUGUUCCAGUUAAAAAGAGUUAUGCUCAAUAAAGAGCAUUUUUAUCAAAAACCUCACAUCCUAAAAACUUCUAUGAAUCUAACUAUAAUUUGUUUAAAUAAAAAUUUUACAAGUUUGUCUAAAUCAUCCAGUAUUUUAGCUCUAAUCUAAACUUCUGCCCCAGCUGAGCUACACUCUACCCGUUUUUCCUAGUCGCAUAGCAACGGCAUCUUCUACACACUGGAUAGGUUUGGUACUGCUUGUCAAAUCUGAGGCCCCCACGGAGGCCAAGUUCUGGCGUGAUCUUAUCGACGUAUUUGUCUCAUAGUGGACCAGAUCCAGGUGAUUGAACUCCUCGUAGACCUGAAUACUCAGGAGGCACUGCAGACUACAGCUCCAUGUUCGUGUCGAGAAACUCGACUCUUUGAAUGAAUUCUUUCAGAUGUCUUCUUCCUUAUUCUCUCCCUCCCUUCCGCCUGCAAACUGACACACUUUCUUCUAAUUCAUCGGCAGCAUGGUGAGGGAUGGAUAGAGCGUGGGAGCGAGUGGGAUUGAUGAAGAAAGAAAGAAAAAAAGAAAGAAAGAAAAAGUCUGUUUUGGCAUCAAAAGGCUGUCUCAGGGACUCGGGGGAAUACAUUGACUUUUCGAUGGGCUUUUUGAUUAUGUUUUUUCUGAUUUAUUAACUCGAUACACAGCAGCUGCAUUAGAAGUGUACUCUCAAAUGUCCUCAUUGCAAUAAUUAUAUUGCACACAGUCUAACUCGUCUCCUAUAAUAAUUAACCAUUAUUUCAUAACGUUUCUUGGCACUAGGACACGGUAUUUUGAUGGCUCAUCUUUCGUAGUGCAAAUUUGAGGAUGACUAACUUUUCUCGAAGAGGCCAUUGCAUCUCCCCAAGUCAUUAAACAUUUAAAGGGCUAUUCCCCAAGUGUUCAAUGCUGCAGAGAAUAACGCACCCCAUUAUAUGUGACCCAGAAACAACUUGCUCCUAUCUCGAUUCCCAUCUCCUUGCUGCAGUAAUUAUUAAGAGGAAAAACAAGCUCUUUAGAGACAGAUUAAAGAGAAUACCGUCUCCCUCUCGUCAUAAUGCUGUUUUGCUUUGUCAAAACAGAGGGGGGUUAGGGUUAGCUGGAGUUAGGGUCAGCGUGAGCUGGAUAUAUGUUUAAUUGAACAUGACUUCAUUCCUGCAUCUGCACUUGUUUGGAUAAUUUGAAUAAAUCAUCAUUUGCUAAAUUCACACAAAUGUGAUGGAUCAGAGAAUUACUGUCUCACAGUUAUUGCACAUAGUGAAUGCAUGUCAUCGUUUUCUGUUUAGCUGCUUCACUGAUGACUUUAGUCGGUUGAGAUUAAUCAAAAUCUUUCCUGAUUGAGAUGAAAUUAGGAUUGGCCUUAAUACUAAAUUAGCCUAGGACUGCAUGGAGAUGGGUGAUUCUCUGUGGCAACCCCUGAAGGGAAAAGCCAAAAGGAAAAGAAGAUUGUUCACAAGGUGGCGUAUCAGAUUCCUGGUGAAUGCAGUCUUUUCCAUCAUGUUAAAGGCUCAAUAUGCACACAUUACAAAUGGCUGUUGCAUUGUCUUUGCUGUCCGGUUCAAAAUACCACCAAAGUGCAGACAUUUUCUCUCUCCUGAGGUGACACGUUAGCACUGUAUUAGCUUGCUAGCUAACAGCUACAUGUCAUGGGGUGUUUCUUAAUGUCAAGGCGCCUGGCCUUGCGAGGCGAUGGCUUGCGAGGCUAGGCGACUUGCUUACGAGGACACUGCCCUUCCUUGGUCAAAGAAAAUGGUUAAAUGGAACAGACUUGCAUCACGUGACCGCAGCUUCCACGGCGGUCACGUAAUGUCACGUGACACAGGAGAUAACAUUAUAUUUUAUACGUAUUAGUUUCAAUAUAAAUAUAUAACAAGACCUUUACUUUUCAAAUUGUGUUUAUAUUUGUUAAAUUAAAUAUAUAAGCGAGUUACUACUCGCUAACCACCGAAGCUGCAACUACUAAGCAACUAACCAACCAUAGAUAACUUCUUUGGAUCUAAAAAAAUACAUUUUAAAUUAGUUGACUUACUUUUAAACAUGAAAUUUGCCCCAGAAGUAGCUGCCAGCUUCUGAUCCGCCAUCCUUUUGAAAAUACCGUGGUGUAAUCUGGGUCAUUUUUGACCAAGGUUAGGCUACAAGACAUCCCCCGUGUAUCCUUGCUCAGCUAGCUAAACAACUAACAAACUGAGAACACUCGCCUUGGUAGAACAUGAACAUUGGAACACGUCUUGGCGGCUCCCGAUGACGUAUCUCCUAGGCAACCGGGGUGGGGCCAAGACAUCAAGGUGAGGUUCCUUGGCAUUGAGAAACACCCAUGGUCUCUGAAUUCCCAGCUUGCCGUGUAACUAAGCAGUUCUGACUUGCUUUUAGCACCCCUUAGUGUCUGUUUGCCAAACCAAAAGAAAGACCUCCUCUCCUCGCUGUGCUUUUGUCUUUUUAACACCUUAAUCUAACAGCUGAAAUGUCUCCUUGCAGACCGGACAGGCAACUCUGAAGUUGCAAGUGGAAUUUUUUGGCCACAGGGGGCGAUAGGGACUGGGUGGUGUUUAAUUACCCCGUAAAGGAUCGUUUUAGCACAUACUGGCUCGAGAAAAUGUUUUAAAAAUGCGAAAAGGUUGCAAAGUAUCCUUUUAAGGUGUUCAAAGAAACAAUGAAUAUUGAUGUAGUGGAUUUUGCUAAAAUGUGUGAUCUGUGUAAUUUUAUUGAUUAGUUUUGAUUGGAUUAACAAGCUAAUGGCUGACCUGAUUGUGAACAAGACCAAAGUAGAUGGUUACGACAAUCUACAAAAGCAAUUUUAAAAACUUUUACAUUGAUACAAUGUUUACCUCACUGGGUUAUAUACUAGCAUUUUGUGUUGUGUUUUGUAAAUUGCUGCAGCGGUUAGCUUUAGCAUUUCCUGUUUCAUGUGAAGCACUUUGAAUGGGAAUACAAAAUAUGUCCACCAGAUUAAUGGGCCAUUCCCAUCUGUACCGGGUCGGCCCGGGCC